UAGUCUAGUGGUUAUGACGUCUGCCUUACACGCAGAAGGUCGCGAGUUCGAUCCUCGC
rnacentral:tRNA from 1 species